rnacentral:rRNA from 1 species
UACGAAGGGGGCUAGCGUUGCUCGGAAUCACUGGGCGUAAAGCGCACGUUAGGCGGCUUUUUAAGUCAGGGGUGAAAUCCUGGAGCUCAACUCCAGAACUGCCUUUGAUACUGGCGAUCUUGAGUCCGGGAGAGGUGAGUGGAACUGCGAGUGUAGAGGUGAAAUUCGUAGAUAUUCGCAAGAACACCAGUGGCGAAGGCGGCUCACUGGCCCGGUACUGACGCUGAGGUGCGAAAGCGUGGGGAGCAAACAGGG